rnacentral:pre_miRNA from 2 species
CCUGGCCUCCUGCAGUGCCACACUCCGUGUAUUUGACAAGCUGAGUUAGACACUCCAUGUGGAAGAGUGUCAGUUUGUCAAAUACCCCAAGUGCGGCACAUGC